rnacentral:piRNA from 1 species
UACAGCCUCCUACAUCUCCC